rnacentral:rRNA from 1 species
GAGCAGAGGAGCCAAGCGUUGUCCGGAUUGACUGGGCGUAAAGCGCACGCAGGCGGUUCGUGCACGUGGGUGUGAAACGUGGCGGACUUGAACUGCCAGUAGGCCACCUCAUACGGCGCGACUCGGAGCCCGGUGAGAGGUCCAUGGAAUUGCCGGUGUAGUGGAUGAAAUGCGUAGAGAUCGGCAGGAACACCCAGGGAGAAA